UACGGAGGGGGCUAGCGUUGUUCGGAAUUACUGGGCGUAAAGCGUACGUAGGCGGUGUCCCCAGUCAGAGGUGAAAGCCUGGAGCUCAACUCCAGAACUGCCUUCGAUACUGGCGAUCUUGAGUCCGGAAGAGGUGAGUGGAACUCCUAGUGUAGAGGUGGAAUUCGUAGAUAUUAGGAAGAACACCAGUGGCGAAGGCGGCUCACUGGUCCGGUACUGACGCUGAGGUGCGAAAGCGUGGGGAGCAAACAGGAUUAGAAACCCUAGUAGU
rnacentral:rRNA from 1 species